rnacentral:misc_RNA from 1 species
GCAGGUCGUUAGACCUUGCUUCGAAAUGCAAAUUAGCCACAAAGAGAUUGUGUAUAGGCAGCGGCUUGGAUGGCGGCGGAGAAGAAGGUUUCUCAGUCUUUGGCUUAGCCCAUGCAAGUCUCAAAGGUCUACCCUCAAGUUCAUACGCUUCAAGAUUUUCAAGAACGGCCUUAGCUUCCUCAUGUGAGCCCAUUGUGACAAAGACUAAACCCCUGCU